rnacentral:rRNA from 1 species
UGGGGAAUAUUGGACAAUGGGCGCAAGCCUGAUCCAGCCAUACCGCGUGGGUGAAGAAGGCCUUCGGGUUGUAAAGCCCUUUUGUUGGGAAAGAAAUCCUAUCGGUUAAUAACCGUUGGGGAUGACGGUACCCAAAGAAUAAGCACCGGCUAACUUCGUGCCAGCAGCCGCGGUAAUACGAAGGGUUCAAGCGUUACUCGGAAUUACUGGGCGUAAAGCGUGCGUAGGUGGUGGUUUAAGUCUGCUGUGAAAGACCUGGGCUCAACCUGGGAAUUGCAGUCGAUACAGGAUCACUAGAGUGUGGUGGAGAGAUGCGGAAUAUCUGGUGUAGCGGUGAAAUGCGUGGAGAUCAGGAGGAACAUCCGUGGCGAGAGCGGCAACCUGGGCCAACACUGACACUGUGGCACGAAAGCGUGGGGGGCAAAAA